CUACGUUCUCGGGCCUUGUACACACCGCCCGUCACACCACGAAAGUCAAUUGCACCAGAAGUCACCGGGUUUCCGGUGCCCAAGGUGUGAUUAAUGAUUGGGGUG
rnacentral:rRNA from 1 species